rnacentral:tRNA from 1 species
AGACAUUACAAUGGUCUUGUAAGCCAUAAAUGAAAGCCAUUUUCUAAGGGUA